UACGUAGGGGGCAAGCGUUGUCCGGAAUCAUUGGGCGUAAAGCGCGUGUAGGCGGUCCGAUAAGUUCGCUGUGAAAGUCGGGGGCUUAACCCUCGGAUGCCGGUGAAUACUGUCGGGCUUGAGUACAGAAGAGGCGAGUGGAAUUCCUGGUGUAGCGGUGAAAUGCGCAGAUAUCAGGAAGAACACCAAUGGCGAAAGCAGCUCUCUGGGACGGUACUGACGCUGAGGCGCGAAAGCGUGGGGAGCGAACCGG
rnacentral:rRNA from 1 species